rnacentral:rRNA from 1 species
AUACGGAGGAUCCAAGCGUUAUCCGGAUUUAUUGGGUUUAAAGGGUGCGUAGGCGGACCCGUUAGUCAGUGGUGAAAGUUUGCAGCUCAACUGUAAAAUUGCCAUUGAAACUGCGGGUCUUGAGUGUAAAUAAGGUAGGCGGAAUGUGUUGUGUAGCGGUGAAAUGCUUAGAUAUAACACAGAACACCAAUUGCGAAGGCAGCUUACUGGGAUACAACUGACGCUGAGGCACGAAAGCGUGGGGAUCAAACAGGAUUAGAUACCCUGGUAGUCCACGCAGUAAACGAUGAAUACUAGCUGUAUGCGAUAUACUGUAUGUGGCAAAGCGAAAGCGUUAAGUAUUCCACCUGGGGAGUACGUUCGCAAGAAUGAA